rnacentral:lncRNA from 1 species
GAAGAGGGUCGGUCCAUCUGUGUCUGCUACAUUUGGUCCCCAGCACCUUGGGGCUCCAUUGUUCUUUGCUGGACAUCCAGACUGGAUGGGCUGCUCAGCCAGCUGCCUUCCUGCCUCUUUUCACUGAUGGGCACCUGUACCGUGUCAGGCAUUGUGAUGUCGGAUGUGUUGGACUCAGAACCCACUAUUCCGCAGAGCCACUGCUCAGGAAGAAGACAUUUCUGUAGUCAAGCCCAUUCCGAAGUCUUUGUGCAAAAGAUGGGGUUGGAGAACAGCGGUGCAUCCUAAGAGAAGUGGGAGCGUUAAGGUUUGGAUGUGAGGCACUUCAGGUGGCUCAGGGUGAACCGUCAGUGUGAAGACUGUGGCCACACGGGCAGAUGAGCAAAUAGAAGUAGACACCCCAGGAAAAGACACACAACCGACAUGGAGCUCUCUACAGAGGUGCGUUUGUUUAUGGUGGAAAUGGUCUCCAUAAUUACGGAAGCCGGGAAGUUCUAUCAUCUGCCACUUGCAGUUUCAGACCCCAGGCAUGCUGGUGGUGCACUUGUAAGGGAUUUUGAAUGUGGCAACUCUGUGCUCCAUUCCCAGAAGGCUCAUCUGCAAUCCUAGGAAAGAAACAAGCAAGCAACAAAACCAAGAAAAGCCUUACAAAUUAUGAAAAACAUCUUGAGGGAUGUGUUAAAACUGUAAUGGACUCUGGAUCCCCAAGAGGAUUUUAGCUGCAGAAAGCACGCAGGUUGCUCAACCUCAAGGUCGGCAUAGGAGGCAGAUGGGAAGAUGUGGCAAUCCCAGGGCUUAUGAAACUUGGAUAAAGCAUGAGGCGGCUUCCCACUAUUUGGAAAGAGUGGCUGGUCUU